AGUGAACGCUGGCGGUAGGCCUAACACAUGCAGGUCGAACGGCAGCACAGUAAGAGCUUGCUCUUACGGGUGGCGAGUGGCGGACGGGUGAGGAAUACAUCGGAAUCUACUUUUUCGUGGGGGAUAACGUAGGGAAACUUACGCUAAUACCGCAUACGACCUACGGGUGAAAGCAGGGGAUCUUCGGACCUUGCGCGAUUGAAUGAGCCGAUGUCGGAUUAGCUAGUUGGCGGGGUAAAGGCCCACCAAGGCGACGAUCCGUAGCUGGUCUGAGAGGAUGAUCAGCAACACUGGAACUGAGACACGGUCCAGACUCCUACGGGAGGCAGCAGUGGGGAAUAUUGGACAAUGGGCGCAAGCCUGAUCCAGCCAUACCGCGUGGGUGAAGAAGGCCUUCGGGUUGUAAAGCCCUUUUGUUGGGAAAGAAAAGCAGCAGGUUAAUACCCCGCUGUUCUGACGGUACCCAAAGAAUAAGCACCGGCUAACUUCGUG
rnacentral:rRNA from 1 species